UACGUAGGUGGCAAGCGUUGUCCGGAUUUAUUGGGCGUAAAGGGAGCGCAGGCGGUGACUUAAGUCUGAUGUGGAAGCCCACGGCUCAACCGUGGAAGGUCAUUGGAAACUGGGUCACUUGAAUAUAGAAGAGGAAAGUGGAAUUCCAUGUGUAGCGGUGAAAUGCGUAGAUAUAUGGAGGAACACCAGUGGCGAAGGCGACUUUCUGGUCUAUUAUUGACGCUGAGGCUCGAAAGACAUGGGUAGGCAAACAAGGAUUAGAUA
rnacentral:rRNA from 1 species